rnacentral:rRNA from 1 species
UACGUAGGUGGCAAGCGUUGUCCGGAUUUACUGGGCGUAAAGGAUGCGUAGGCGGACAUUUAAGUCAGAUGUGAAAUACCCGAGCUUAACUUGGGUGCUGCAUUUGAAACUGGGUGUCUAGAGUGCAGGAGAGGUAAGUGGAAUUCCUAGUGUAGCGGUGAAAUGCGUAGAGAUUAGGAAGAACACCAGUGGCGAAGGCGACUUACUGGACUGUAACUGACGCUGAGGCGCGAAAGCCAGGGGAGCAAACGGG